UGGAAUCCUUUGAUUCUCAUGGCAG
rnacentral:piRNA from 1 species